CACGACCAAAGCAGACGGCGGUGAAAAUCGCUCCGUAUUAUAACUUAUUUUUGAAUCGUGUUUGCGAGAAAGAAAGGAGCAGCCAUUGAUGGACAACUGAGAGGAAGAGGAGGCCCAGGAGGCAUCAGGCAUCGGCGGAGCAACGUUACAGGUCAACAUGUAAACUACAACUCCGCUGUUGCGCAUCAUGUACCGGUAAGUCAACAUCA